rnacentral:misc_RNA from 1 species
GAUGAACGUAGCGAAAUGCGAUACGUAAUGUGAAUUGCAGAAUUCAGUGAAUCAUCGAGUCUUUGAACGCACAUUGCGCCCCCUGGUAUUCCGGGGGGCAUGCCUGUCCGAGCGUCAUUGCUGCCCUCAAGCACGGCUUGUGUGUUGGGCCUCCGUCCUCCUCCCGGGGGACGGGCCCGAAAGGCAGCGGCGGCACCGCGUCCGGUCCUCGAGCGUAUGGGGCUUCGUCACCCGCUCUUGUAGGCCCGGCCGGCGCUUGCCGACACAUCAAUCUUUUUUCCAGGUUGACCUCGGAUCAGGUAGGGAUACCCGCUGAACUUAAGCAUAUCAAUAAGCGGAGGA